rnacentral:rRNA from 1 species
UACGUAGGGUGCAAGCGUUUGUCCGGAAUUAUUGGGCGUAAAGAGCUCGUAGGCGGUCUGUCGCGUCGGCUGUGAAAACUCGGGGCUCAACUCCGAGCUUGCAGUCGAUACGGGCAGGCUAGAGUUCGGCAGGGGAGACUGGAAUUCCUGGUGUAGCGGUGAAAUGCGCAGAUAUCAGGAGGAACACCGGUGGCGAAGGCGGGUCUCUGGGCCGAUACUGGCGCUGAGGAGCGAAAGCGUGGGGAGCGAACAGG